GGAUAACUCGCCGAAAGGCGAGCUAAUACCGCAUGACAUUCCGAAGACUCCGGUCUUUGGACUCAAAGGCCGCAAGGCCGUCUGAGGAGGAGCCCGCGCCCGAUUAGCUAGUUGGUGAGGUAACGGCUCACCAAGGCUUUGAUCGGUAGCCGGUCUGAGAGGAUGGCCGGCCACACUGGAACUGAGACACGGUCCAGACUCCUACGGGAGGCAGCAGUGGGGAAUAUUGCGCAAUGGGCGAAAGCCUGACGCAGCGACGCCGCGUGGGGGAUGAAGCUUCUCGGAGUGUAAACCCCUUUCGACCCGGACGAAUGACCCGCAAGGGUUUGACGGUACGGGUAUAAGAAGCCCCGGCUAACUACGUGCCAGCAGCCGCGGUAGUACGUAGGGGGCCAGCGUUGCUCGGAAUUACUGGGCGUAAAGGGUUCGUAGGUGGUGCGGCAAGUUGGAAGUGAAAUCUCUGGGCUUAACCCAGAGGCUGCUUUCAAAACUGCCGUGCUCGAGUGCGGGAGAGGCCAGUGGAAUUGCAGGUGUAGCGGUGAAAUGCGUAGAUAUCUGCAGGAACACCCGUGGCGAAGGCGGCUGGCUGGACCGCAACUGACACUGAGGAACGAAAGCUAGGGGAGCAAACAGGAUUAGAUACCCUGGUAGUCCUAGCCCUAAACCAUCGGAACUUGGGGUGGCCCGCGUAGGCGGGUCGUCCCGUAGCUAACGCGUUAAGUUCCGCGCCUGGGGAGUACGGUCGCAAGACUGAAACUCAAAGGAAUUGACGG
rnacentral:rRNA from 1 species